AGUGAACGCUGGCGGUAGGCCUAACACAUGCAAGUCGAACGGCAGCACAGUAAGAGCUUGCCCUUACGGGUGGCGAGUGGCGGACGGGUGAGGAAUACAUCGGAAUCUACUUUUUCGUGGGGGAUAACGUCGGGAAACUUACGCUAAUACCGCAUACGACCUACGGGUGAAAGCAGGGGAUCUUCGGACCUUGCGCGAUUGAAUGAGCCGAUGUCGGAUUAGCUAGUUGGCGGGGUAAAGGCCCACCAAGGCGACGAUCCGUAGCUGGUCUGAGAGGAUGAUCAGCCACACUGGAACUGAGACACGGUCCAGACUCCUACGGGAGGCAGCAGUGGGGAAUAUUGGACAAUGGGCGCAAGCCUGAUCCAGCCAUACCGCGUGGGUGAAGAAGGCCUUCGGGUUGUAAAGCCCUUUUGUUGGGAAAGAAAAGCAGCAGGUUAAUACCCCGCUGUUCUGACGGUACCCAAAGAAUAAGCACCGGCUAACUUCGUG
rnacentral:rRNA from 1 species